GUGCUUCUAGAGUCAAACACUUGCUUACAUUAGAGCGAGAGCGUGGAUGUAAACAAACCUACCAGCCAAUCAGAGCCAUGCAUCUCCGUCACGUGACCCGCCUGCUGGUGACGUCACUGCUGAUCUCGUCUGUGAUUGGUGGACUCCCCUAUGGCGCUAAACCAAUUGACUGCUACCCUAAAACUGUCUUUGUUACUGUAGCUCAAGAUGUCACGAGAGAGGUGGCAGUUCCGACAAGAAUAUUCAAGAGCGAACUGGUCCCCAAGAGAUUCGAUUUGGACCGGAUUAACAGCGUAACCGAAGACGUGAUAGUGAGGUCCUACAGGGCCCAGCCGGUCACCACUACGGUUCAUCAGGCAGUCGUUGAACUAGUCACCGUUUACGAUUACAAGACUAUCACGAAACAGCAUCCGGUUGUGGCUACUAUUGAUUCGAAUGUCCCCGUGCCGGUUACGGUUACGGAUUGGAGCAAUGUUAUUAGCUACAGCAUCAGUACUGGGCUUGUUCAGGUUACGGAUGUGGUUCCGGUGUAUCAAACGACUCUUGAAAUUGUUCUGGAUACGAUUAAAAACACAAAGGUUGUUCCGGUUAUCUCAACAGUCUGGGACACCAAGAUAGUAUACAGUACCUUAUGUCCCAAACUGUACUAUUAGCUGUAACGAUAGUAGUAACUGUAGUAAUAGUAAUUUGACUACUAUUACUACUACUACUACUUCUUCUACUAUUUUAUGAGUGAUUUUCGAUGCCAUUGUUGUUGUUGUUGUUGUUUAGAUAGUAGUAAUUAAGUAAUUCUAUUUAUAUGUAGUAAUAAUGAUAAUGAUAAUAAUAAUGAUGAUGAUGAUGAU